rnacentral:rRNA from 1 species
UAAUACGUAGGUGGCAAGCGUUUUCCGGAAUUAUUGGGCGUAAAGCGCGCGCAGGCGGUCUUUUAAGUCUGAUGUGAAAGCCCACGGCUCAACCGUGGAGGGUCAUUGGAAACUGGAAGACUUGAGUGCAGAAGAGGAGAGUGGAAUUCCACGUGUAGCGGUGAAAUGCGUAGAGAUGUGGAGGAACACCAGUGGCGAAGGCGACUCUCUGGUCUGUAACUGACGCUGAGGCGCGAAAGCGUGGGGAGCAAACAGGAUUAGAUACCCUGGUAGUCCACGCCGUAAACGAUGAGUGCUAAGUGUUAGAGGGUUUCCGCCCUUUAGUGCUGCAGCUAACGCAUUAAGCACUCCGCCUGGGGAGUACGACCGCAAGGUUGAA